rnacentral:rRNA from 1 species
GUCUAUGGCCAUACCACCCUGAACGCACUGUACCUGAUCUCAUCUGAUCUCAGCAGCUAAGCAGAUUCGGGUCUGGUUAGUACUUGGAUGGGAGAAAUACUGAAGCAAAAGCAA